rnacentral:lncRNA from 1 species
AUUUUGUAGAACCCUCGUUAUUUAGUUUAUUUAUUAUUUAUUUAUUUUUACAGUAAGAGUAGCAGAAAUACAGACAGAGCUGAUGAACACAUAAACACAGUUCACUAAUAUUUACAGCAGGUGGCGCUGAAACAAAACAAAACUCGCUGUGGUUGAGACGGUGCCAGUGUAACCGGUCGGGACAGAACUGCGCAUGUGCAGCAGAGAGGGCAGAGGAGUAAGGUUAAUAGUGAGAGAGAGCUUGCUGCUGCAAUGUGACACUCGCUACAUGAGACGGUUCAAGACAGCGACACCUAAGACUACUUCAAAUAAACCAGUUACUCAACCUGUGCAGGACAGGUGGACCACACCACAGGUGAGGAAUCUAUGGGGUAAGACAACACAUUUUACUAAGACAAACGUAAGACAAACGCUUUUAUUGUCCUCUGCCCAACAUUUAUGUUGCAGGUUUGCUGUUUAAACUUGGGUGUGAUAUUUAUUCACAAACCGAUCCAACCUCCUGUGCUCCAGACCAUGUGUUCAAUGUCAGUGGCUGGAUCAGACAGAAGAUACUCUAAUAUUAGGAGUGCAACCAGAGCUGUUACACAUUUAAAAACAUCAGCUGACCUGAUGCAAACACACUUUCCCUGCACAGUAAAAAAACUGCAGGAGCAGUUUUUCUCAGAACAACGGGAAGCUGACCUAAUUUCCCAGCCGCUUCUGGACACAGAGAAUCGAUUCAUUAAGGUGUGUAAGAGUGUGUGUAUUUAGUAUUAUGAGAC